rnacentral:rRNA from 1 species
UACGGAGGAUCCGAGCGUUAUCCGGAUUUAUUGGGUUUAAAGGGAGCGUAGGCGGGUUGUCAAGUCAGUUGUGAAAGUUUGCGGCUCAACCGUAAAAUUGCAGUUGAUACUGGCAUCCUUGAGUACAGUAGAGGUAGGCUGAAUUCGUGGUGUAGCGGUGAAAUGCUUAGAUAUCACGAAGAACUCCGAUUGCGAAGGCAGCCUGCUGGACUGUAACUGACGCUGAUGCUCGAAAGUGUGGGUAUCAAACAGG